GGGCCCGCACAAGCGGCGGAGCAUGCGGAUUAAUUCGAUGCAACGCGAAGAACCUUACCAAGGCUUGACAUGGGCAGUAAUCCGGCAGAGAUGUCGGGUCCGUAAGGGCUGUUCACAGGUGGUGCAUGGUUGUCGUCAGCUCGUGUCGUGAGAUGUUGGGUUAAGUCCCGCAACGAGCGCAACCCUCGUUCCAUGUUGCCAGCACGUAGUGGUGGGGACUCAUGGGAGACUGCCGGGGUCAACUCGGAGGAAGGUGGGGAUGACGUCAAAUCAUCAUGCCCCUUAUGUCUUGGGCUUCACGCAUGCUACAAUGGCCAGUACAAAGGGUUGCGAGACCGUGAGGUGGAGCGAAUCCCAAAAAGCUGGUCUCAGUUCGGAUCGGGGUCUGCAACUCGACCCCGUGAAGUCGGAGUCGCUAGUAAUCGCAGAUCAGCAACGCUGCGGUGAAUACGUUCCCGGGCCUU
rnacentral:rRNA from 1 species